UCCGUAGCUGGCCCUUCAAGUCUCUCGUUAAAUCCAGCGAUUCAAUCGUUGGACUGCGGGAGAUACUGUUAGGCUUGGGGGCGGGAGAAGCCGACGGUAUUUCCGGUGUAGGGGUAAAAUCCUAUAAUCCCGGGAGGACCACCAGUGGCGUAGGCGGUCGGCUAGCACGCGCCCGACGGUGAGGGACGAAAGCUGGGGGAGCAAACCGGAUUAGAUACCCGGAUAGUCCCAGCUGUAAACGAUGCGGGCUAGGUGUUGGAGCGGUCACGAGCCGCUUCAGUGCCGCAGGGAAGCCAUUAAGCCCGCCGCCUGGGGAGUACGGCCGCAAGGCUGAA
rnacentral:rRNA from 1 species